UACGUAGGGGGCAAGCGUUGUCCGGAUUUAUUGGGCGUAAAGAGCUCGUAGGUGGUUCGACAAGUCGGGUGUGAAAACUCCGGGCUCAACCCGGAGACGCCACCCGAUACUGUCGUGACUGGAGUCCGGUAGGGGAGUGGGGAAUUCCUGGUGUAGCGGUGAAAUGCGCAGAUAUCAGGAGGAACACCAAUGGCGAAGGCAGCUCGCUGGGACGGUACUGACGCUGAGACGCGAAAGCGUGGGGAGCAAACAGG
rnacentral:rRNA from 1 species